GAGCGCGCUUUCUUGUGGACGCAUCAGACGCAUCAUGUCACAGGUCACCGGCGUAUUUUAUAUCCGGCGUCUUUGAAAUAUUUAUGUUGGCACGGUCCGUGGAUUCAGCCACAUUCGAGCCAACUGCAGUGGACACGGUGCACGGGCGCAGCAAGCAUAACGUGUGGGAGCUACUGUACUCGCAUGUCUGAUUGCUGACGCAACGCGGAACAAAGAAAGAACCCUAAGCAACGAGAUAUAUCCGCGAGCUCGUCUCCUGAAGCUGAAGCAGAGCGGGCAACAGUUUGACAACGAAUACCCUUGGUAGCAGGCAUUGUAGAGCUGUACUAUAAGCCCCCUCUGUAUGAGAUGUUUUCACCGAACAAUUGUUGUGUAAUAAAGGCUCUUCGUGUUGAACACCACCUAGUUUCGAUUGGGUGACCAUUUACUAUUAACUGGAUUGCCUGUUGAACACCAGUUCA